AUACGGAGGGUGCAAGCGUUAUCCGGAAUCAUUGGGUUUAAAGGGUCCGCAGGCGGAUUAAUAAGUCAGUGGUGAAAUCCUCUCGCUCAACGAGAGAACUGCCAUUGAAACUGUUAGUCUUGAAUUCGGUCGAAGUAGGCGGAAUGUGUCAUGUAGCGGUGAAAUGCAUAGAUAUGACACAGAACACCGAUAGCGAAGGCAGCUUACUAGACCUGGAUUGACGCUCAUGGACGAAAGCGUGCGGAGCGAACAGGAUUAGAUACCCCAGUAGUCC
rnacentral:rRNA from 1 species